GGUUGGAAAGGAAACUGUUUCAAGAUUUUUGCUUUAUGGGUGGGGAGCU
rnacentral:ncRNA from 12 species